rnacentral:rRNA from 1 species
UGGGGAAUUUUGGACAAUGGGCGCAAGCCUGAUCCAGCCAUGCCGCGUGAGUGAAGAAGGCCUUCGGGUUGUAAAGCUCUUUCGGUGAAGACGAAACGGUUAGUGCUAAUAACGCUGACUAAUGACGGUACUCACAGAAGAAGCACCGGCUAACUACGUGCCAGCAGCCGCGGUAAUACGUAGGGUGCAGGCGUUAAUCGGAAUUACUGGGCGUAAAGCGUGCGCAGGCGGUUUGUUAAGACAGGUGUGAAAUCCCCGGGCUUAACCUGGGAAUUGCGCUUGUAACUGGCAGGCUAGAGUGUGGCAGAGGGGGGUGGAAUUCCACGUGUAGCAGUGAAAUGCGUAGAUAUGUGGAGGAACACCGAUGGCGAAGGCAGCCCCCUGGGUUAACACUGACGCUCAUGCACGAAAGCGUGGGGAGCAAACAGGAUUAGAUACCCCAGUAGUCCCUGAGCGGGCUGGCAAGGCGCAU